rnacentral:rRNA from 1 species
GGCCCAGAGAGGUGGGCAACUACCACUCAGGGCCGGAAAGUUAUCCAAACUCGGUCAUUUAGAGGAAGUAAAAGUCGUAACAAGGUCUCCGUUGGUGAACCAGCGGAGGGAUCAUUA